rnacentral:rRNA from 1 species
GUAGUCUCGCACAGAUGCAUAUCAAUAAGCGGAGGAAAAGAAACUAACAAGGAUUCCCUCAGUAACGGCGAGUGAAGCGGGAAGAGCUCAAAUUUGAAAUCUUGAAAGGUCACCUUUCACGAAUUGUAGUUUAAAGAAGUGUUUUCUGUUACGAUCGUAAUAUAAGUUCUUUGGAAUAGGACAUCACAGAGGGUGAGAAUCCCGUCUAUGAUUGCGAUUUGUAGCUUUGUGAUACACUUUCAAAGAGUCGGGUUGUUUGGGAAUGCAGCCCAAGACGGGAGGUAAAUUUCUUCUAAGGCUAAAUAUUGGCGAGAGACCGAUAGCGAACAAGUACCGUGAGGGAAAGAUGAAAAGAACUUUGAAAAGAGAGUUGAAACAGUACGUGAAAUUGUCAAAAGGGAAGCGUUUGACACCAGUGUUGUUUUCUCGAAAAUCAAUUAAAAAGAGUUAGAUUUUGUUGUGUAUUGACCUUAACAGCUUGCAUUUCAAUUUUCUUGCUUUUUUUAAUGCACUUUUCGUUUAACAAGUCAACAUCAGUUUCUUUUGUUGUAAAAAGGUCAUUGGAAGGUGGCUUUCCUUUUCGGAGAAAGUGUUUAUAGCCUUUGACUCCCUGCAAUCGGAGAGACUGAGGUCUGCAGCGUAGACUCCUUCGGGGUUCGAUACAUUUGUGCUAAGUUAUAGCUUUUUAUAGACAACUUGUUGUACUAUGAUUAGUCUUGUAGCUUACUCGCUUAUGCUAUUUUACCUACGCUUAGGAUGUUGAAGAUGUAGCACAUCAU